rnacentral:rRNA from 1 species
UGGGGAAUAUUGCACACUGGAGGGAACUCUGAUGCAGCGACGCCGCGUGAACGAAGAAGGCUUUCGAGUCGUAAAGUUCUUGUAUAUGGGAAGAUAAUGACGGUACCAUAAGAAAAAUCCCCGGCUAACUACGUGACAGAAGCCGCGGUAAUACGUAGGGGGCUAGCGUUGUCCGGAAUCACUGGGCGUAAAGGGUUCGCAGGCGGAAAUGCAAGUCAGGUGUAAAAGGCAGUAGCUUACCUACUGUAAGCAUUUGAAACUGCAUAUCUUGAGAAGAGUAGAGGUAAGUGGAAUUUUUAGUGUAGCGGUGAAAUGCGUAGAUAUUAAAAAGAAUACCGGUGGCGAAGGCGACUUACUGGGCUCAUUCUGACGCUGAGGAACGAAAGCGUGGGUAGCAAACAGG